rnacentral:rRNA from 1 species
UACGAAGGGGGCUAGCGUUGCUCGGAAUCACUGGGCGUAAAGCGCACGUAGGCGGCUUCUUAAGUCAGGGGUGAAAUCCUGGAGCUCAACUCCAGAACUGCCUUUGAUACUGAGGAGCUUGAGUCCGGGAGAGGUGAGUGGAACUGCGAGUGUAGAGGUGAAAUUCGUAGAUAUUCGCAAGAACACCAGUGGCGAAGGCGGCUCACUGGCCCGGUACUGACGCUGAGGAGCGAAAGCCAGGGAGCAAAGCGGG